AAUCAACGCUGGCGGCGUGCCUCAGACAUGCAAGUCGAACGCUGCUGUUCGCCUUCGGGUGGACAGCGGAGUGGCGCACGGGUGAGUAACACGUAGGUAAUCUACCUUUGGGUGGGGAAUAACAGCCGGAAACGGCUGCUAAUACCGCAUAAUGCAGCGGCAUCACAUGAUGACAGUUGUUAAAGCGAGGGAUCGCAAGACCUCGCGCCUGAAGAGGAGCCUGCGGCAGAUUAGGUAGUUGGUGAGGUAAUGGCUCACCAAGCCUGCGAUCUGUAACCGGCCUGAGAGGGCGGUCGGUCACACUGACACUGACAUACGGGUCAGACUCCUACGGGAGGCAGCA
rnacentral:rRNA from 1 species